rnacentral:rRNA from 1 species
GAUGAACGCUGGCGGCGUGCCUAAUACAUGCAAGUCGAGCGAACAGAUGAGGAGCUUGCUCCUCUGACGUUAGCGGCGGACGGGUGAGUAACACGUGGAUAACCUACCUAUAAGACUGGGAUAACUUCGGGAAACCGGAGCUAAUACCGGAUAAUAUAUUGAACCGCAUGGUUCAAUAGUGAAAGACGGUUUUGCUGUCACUUAUAGCUGGAUCCGCGCCGCAUUAGCUAGUUGGUAAGGUAACGGCUUACCAAGGCAACGAUGCGUAGCCGACCUGAGAGGGUGAUCGGCCACACUGGAACUGAGACACGGUCCAGACUCCUACGGGAGGCAGCAGUAGGGAAUCUUCCGCAAUGGGCGAAAGCCUGACGGAGCAACGCCGCGUGAGUGAUGAAGGUCUUCGGAUCGUAAAACUCUGUUAUUAGGGAAGAACAAAUGUGUAAGUAACUAUGCACGUCUUGACGGUACCUAAUCAGAAAGCCACGGCUAACUACGUG